rnacentral:lncRNA from 10 species
CUUGAAGCAAGCAAGGGAAGAGUUCUCAGAAUAGUCACGGACUGGCCCAGACAGCCAGCGACUGUCUGAGACCUGCUGGGCCCUAGGGACAAUCACCGAAGUCGGGAGAGCUAAAGGCACAGCCAUAGAGAAGAAUACUGCAAGAGCCUAGGCGGCAGAAAGCUCCAAAGAGGAAACGAGUUGGCAUCUGAGGCUGCAGGGAAAUGGAGUCAUAUGGAGACAGAAAAAGGUACUUUAGGCUGGGUGUGG